CGAGCAGUCGCUUGUAGCAGGCAGCGGCAGCAGUUGCAUUCGAUUGCCAGCCAUCGCCAGAAGGAGAGCGACAGCGCAGCCAGCGUCAGCGUCAGCGACAGAGCAGCCAGCGUCAGCGUCAGCGUUCAACUAAAACAGUCUGAGUGCGUGUCUUUAGUUUGCGCUCGUUUGCUUUAAGCUGUUUUUUCGUAGCUGAAGAGCGAGGCGGACAACAGGAGUGCACGACUACGACGACGACAUAAUUAAAUUAAAAUUUACUCACACACGUACAUUCGCGUCGGCGGCAGAGCCAACUAAUCACAUUACCAGACAUCAGGCAUUGACAUCGGCGGCGGCAGUUGGCCAACAACGCAACCAGAAGACAUUCACAGUUUGUGUUGCAUAGUUUUUGGCGCGCGGCAUACAAACACAACCACUUAACGUAAAUUGAGAAAGUAAAAAAAAAAAAAAGAAA